ACGACCUUCCUCUCCUCCAAGUCACCAAAUACGAGGCAGGAAAAGUCAAUCAAUAUGACAAAGUUCACUGUUGUCUUAUUUUGAGAAAUUGCCACAGCCACCCCAGCCUUCAGCAAUCAUCAACAUCAAAGCAAGACCCUCCAUUAGCAACAAGAUUAUGGCUCGCUGAAGGCUCAGAUGAUCAUUAGCAUUUUUUAGAAAUAAAGUAUUUUUAAAUUAAGGAGAGGUGCCCGAUGAGCUCCCAGUCAUGUGGUUCAGGGCGGGCUCUGGAAGACUCACAGAGGAGACUCCUCCGAGAAACCAAGAAGGUUUCUGUCCAAGUCGGGAUCUGCUCUGCUCAGGAUGCUCCUCCAACACACACAGUGAAAAACUGAGCACCUAGAGAGCAACACCAAAAACCCAUGGCCAAUAAUGGAGAGCCAAAUCAGGAGAGCAUUCAGCAAAGCAAUUCUUGCUGUAGAAGGAACAGCACAAAAAGCUGGAAGGAAACUGAGGCAUGCGUGAAAGAUAACUUGUCAGUGUUUGCAGUCUACUGAGAUCCCCGCUGCAAGAAAAGGCAGGAUUUCCACUUGCUUCUUGGCCCGCCUCUGUUGUCCAGAAUCCAGGACAGGUGACAAGAGAAGCAGAUGUGAUCUGCACAAGCUGGCUCAGCUGGGUUGGGAGUUGCUCUUCCUGGACAGGCCGGGAAGGGUGCUGGAGGGGAGGGAGGAGGAGAGAGGUUUUAGGGGAGGGGUGCUGAGCAGUCAGGGACCUGUAAGGUCACAUUUCUUUCAGGUAUUCUUUCUAGGUGUACUGAAUGGGAACAUUGUCUGUCAUCCCUAGACUGCAUUAAAGACCUAAACUGCUUCCAUUU
rnacentral:lncRNA from 1 species